rnacentral:rRNA from 1 species
UUAGAGUUUGAUCCUGGCUCAGGAUGAACGCUGGCGGCGUGCCUAAUACAUGCAAGUCGAACGAAGACCUUGCCUUCGGGUGAGGUCUUAGUGGCGAACGGGUGAGUAACACGUUGGUGACCUGCCCCGAAGAGGGAGACAACCCCGGGAAACUGGGGCUAAUACCCCAUGUAAUCCAGAGAGUUAGAGGUCUCUGGAUGAAAUGAAGCAAUCCGCUUCGGGAGGGGCCUGCGGCCUACCAGCUAGUUGGUAGGGUAACGGCCUACCGGGGCGACGACGAGUAGGGGGCCUGAGAGGGUGACCCCCCACACUGGAACUGAAACACGGACCAGACACCUACGGGUGGCAGCAGUAGGGAAUAUUACCCAAUGGACGAAAGUCUGAGGCAGCAACGCCGCGUGCGCGAUGAAGGCCUUCGGGGAGUAAAGCGCUUUUCUGGGGGACGAGUAAGGACGUACCCCAGGAAUAAUUUUCGGCAAUA